GGGCGUGCCCGCAUCCGAGCCGGCGCCGGCGGGCGUAAUUCUCUUCGUGAUGUAGGUCGCCGCGACCCGUUGCUGGGGACGUCUAAGGCCCGGUUGGACUGGUACCCCGACGUCGUGCCUCCGUGCCGGCGAAGGGGGAAACCUCCGGUGUCCUGGCUGCCCUGCGACGGUCGUGCAGCAGAGGGACUCCUGCAGUCACUCCUCUCGCGGCGUGCAAAAGGUCGGUGACCCACCCGACCCGUCUUGAAACACGGACCAAGGAGUCUAACAUGUGUGCGAGUCAUUGGGCGCACUAAACCCAGAGGCGCAAUGAAAGUGAAAGGGGAGCGUCCCACGGCGGUCUUCUGGGCCGUCGCGGCGGCGCUCUCCGGGGCCGAUCCUUUUGACUGAACGAUGCCGCCGCGCUCGUCCCACUCCAAAGCGGGGCCGCUCAAGGCGACGAGGCGGGGUGAGACCCUUUCCCCCGCCCGCCGCUGGCUCCGCGGGCGGCGCGGUGCGAUCAUCGCGAGUCCGGCCCGCAAGGGUCGCCUGUACGCAGGAGGGCGCAGGCCCGGGACUUGCCAUCCGACGCCGUCGGGCGAAUCUGUUGUUGGCCUCGCCGGCUCUGCUUGGGCUCUCGGUUGGCGUGCCGCGUGUCUUUGGGCGGGCUCUGGGUGGGGUGGGCUCUCGCGGGCUCGCUCUUCCCCCGGGCUCGUCCGGCGCGGUUCCGCCCUCCGAUCCUGCUCUGUCCGGCGUGGCCUAGCCCGCGUGCUGUCGGCAAGUACCAUGAGCAGACAUGUUGGGACCCGAAAGAUGGUGAACUAUGCCUGGCCAGGAUGAAGCCAGAGGAAACUCUGGUGGAGGUCCGCAGCAAUUCUGACGUGCAAAUCGAUUGUCAGAGCUGGGUAUAGGGGCGAAAGACUAAUCGAACCAUCUAGUA
rnacentral:rRNA from 1 species